CCUACGGGCGGCAGCAGUGAGGAAUAUUGGUCAAUGGGCGGGAGCCUGAACCAGCCAAGCCGCGUGAGGGAAGAAGGUACAGCGUAUCGUAAACCUCUUUUGUCAGGGAACAAAGGCGGGGACUAGUCCCCGGAUGCGGGUACCUGAAGAAAAAGCAUCGGCUAACUCCGUGCCAGCAGCCGCGGUAAUACGGAGGAUGCGAGCGUUAUCCGGAUUUAUUGGGUUUAAAUGGUGCGCAGGCGGCCUUUUAAGUCAGCGGUAAAAGCCCGGGGCUCAACCCCGGCGAGGCGUUGAAACUGGAGGGAUGGAGUUGGAGAGAAGUACGCGGAAUGCGCGGUGUAGCGGUGAAAUGCUUAGAGAUCGCGCAGAACCCCGAUUGCAAAGGGAGCGUACCGGCUCCACACUGACGCUGAGGCACGAAAGCGUGGGUAUCGAACAGGAUUAGAUACCCUGGUAGUC
rnacentral:rRNA from 1 species